UCCCAUGUAGCUCAAUGGGAGAGCACGGACUAACCAUCUGAGGUCGCCAGUUCGAUUCUGGCAAUGGGAA
rnacentral:tRNA from 1 species